AUUGAACGCUGGCGGCAGGCCUAACACAUGCAAGUCGGGCGAACGGCGGACGGGUGAGUAAUGUAUGGGGACCUGCCCGAUGGAGGGGGAUAACUACUGGAAAACGGAGGCAAUACCGCAUAGCAUGAGAUGAACCCAUAUGGGAUUAGCCUGUAGGUGAGGUAACGGCUCACCUAGGCGUCGAUCCCUAGCUGGUCUGAGAGGAUGAUCAGCCACACUGGGACUGAGACACGGCCCAGACUCCUACGGGAGGCAGCAGUGGGGAAUAUUGCACAAUGGGCGCAAGCCUGAUGCAGCCAUGCCGCGUGUAUGAAGAAGGCCUUCGGGUUGUAAAGUACUUUCAGUCGGGAGGCGUUACCGACAGAAGAAGCACCGGCUAACUCCGUGCCAGCAGCCGCGGUAAUAC
rnacentral:rRNA from 1 species